UUCCUCACAGGAUGGCAAUGGCUAUAUCAGUGCAGCAGAACUACGUCACGUUAUGACAAACUUAGGAGAAAAGCUAACAGAUGAAGAAGUAGACGAAAUGAUCAGAGAAGCAGACAUUGAUGGGGAUGGGCAAGUCAACUAUGAAGAAUUCGUACAGAUGAUGACUGCAAAGUGAAGAGACUUCCUUUACACCUUUUUUCCUCUAGAAGAAUCAAAUUGAAUCUUUUACUUACCUCUUGCAAAAAAAAUGUUCAUUUAUUCAUUCUGUUUCUGUAUAGCAAAACUGAAUGUCAAAAUACCUUCUGUCCACAAACUGCAUGUAAUGGUUGGUGGUCCUGUCCCCAAAAGAUAAAGUUAAACAUCAGUUUUACAAUAUAAAUAAUUGUACUACCUUGAAAAUAAAAAAAAAAAAGGAAGCACUUAGUGAACUCAAAAGUUCCAUUUGCUAAUGACUAUUACACUGUUUGGGCUGGCCAGUUUUUCAUGCAUGCAGCUUGACAAUUGAGCACAGUCAGACAUUUGUAUUAAAAGUAAAAAAACAACCUAAAAGAUCCACUCUUUUGUUCAACAGUGGAUUCUAGUUCAAUUUGUAGUAUAAAUUGUCAUAGCUGGUUUACUUCAAAAUUGGUUUAUACCUCAGGAUGGUAUGCAGCAAAAUGGUUGAAGGAUGCAAAACUUAGAGAAAAGCCCUAAAGGUUGAAUGGUUCUCCUGUACGUAGCAGCAUUGUGCUCCAAAAAUACGAUGAUCUUAACUAUGGAUGGCAUGUCCGUGUUAAAAUACUGGUUUAACAUUGUCUGCAUUGCACUAUAGUGAAACGGGUGUCGGGCUGUUACCGUUCACAAAAUUUUUAAAAGAAACCUUCACCAAGGGAGCAUCUUUGGACUCUCAUAUUUUUAAAACCUUCUGUACCAUGACUUGGAGCUGGCGGAGUAGCCUGUGGACUUCAGCACAACUAUCAACAUCGCUGUUCAAGAUAUUACAGUUUAUGUCCAUUCCAAGUUGUAAAUGCUAGUCUUUUUUUCCAAUAAAAGACCAUUAACUUAAAGGUGGUGUUAAAUGCUUUGUAAAGCUAAAAUAUAUAUAUAUAAUUGAGAUAAUAAACCAAAAAAGCAGUAGGAGGGAAGUGUUUCUAUGAAUGACUUGCUGCUAAAUUAUAAUGCACAUGUAUGCAAUAAGUUAUCCCCUAUCUUUUCAAGAUGGCAAGAACUGACCUCCUGUAACCCAAGACCUUUGCUAUAAAUAAAUGAACUUGUGCUUGCCUUUCAUAUUACGACAAUGUUAAUUUAGUUGGUCUCAAAGUCGUGUAAUGCUGACUCGUCAACUAUCAGCACAGAAGUAACACCUCAUUUCACUAAAGUGGAGAGCUCUGAGCAUGCAUGUCAAUACUGGGGAAACGUAUAGGUUGCUUAUGUUUUUUUUUUUGACAGGUUAUAGAAACUUGUUGGAGAAUUUAAACAGCGUGGACUUCGUAGAUACCUAUGAUUCUCAAACAUGCCAAAAAUGCAUUUCUCUACCCACAGAAAGAAAACAAAAGGACAUUUCUUUUACAGUAUGUUAAAAAAAAACAACAAACCUAAGCCUUUUUGGAAAGUGGGGCUAUUAUGUCUUGACUAUCUUCUCAAACACUUGCAUGAAUUUUGUGGGGUGGAGAAGAGGACUAGGGUUAAUUUAAAAACCAUCUUGUUACUUCUGCUUUGCAUGCACUAGCAGUGCUUAGUCAUUCCAGGACUCUGAGUAAGUGUUCUCUGAUCCUUCAGCUUCCCCAUGAAUGAGUGGCAAAGCAGCUGUGUCCACUCUUCUUUGUUUGAAAGAAGAAUGUUUGCUUUUUUUUUUUUUCCCCCAAAUUGCAGAGCCUCCAUGUAGAAGGCUUUUAUGCUUGGGAGGGAGGGACUAUAGCUUAAUUACUUGACUGUAAGUUUGUGUCCAAAUGUAACUGGAGUUGCAAACCUUAAUUGCUUAAUUGCCUUUGGUUUUGGAGAGUAUUGAUACUCUUAAGAGAUGCAAGUCUCCAUUCAUCCUGUCUAACUGAGGUGCCUGUGUUAAGAACUUGGUUGCUUGAAAUGCAGCUUUGCUCAGUGGGGGUCAAGAGACACCUACAGAAGGCAAUUAAGACUAUCUGCCUUCAGUGAAUUUUUUUUUUUUUUUUCUUUCCUGGGGGGGUGGGGGGAGUUCUGGGUGACUAGGGGCCCAGACACCUUAACCAAGUGCCUAAAAGUUAGAUGGGCUGAAUGUAGGCAAUUGUUUAGAUCUCUAGUUGUUGCAAAGGCUUUUUGCUAUGGCUGCAUAUGCUGUCUUAGCAAACUGGCCACAACGAUGGGAAUGUCUGACUACCAUUUUAAAGUAGUGUCUUGCAUGGCAGCUGCAAACUGCUACUUUGGUAGUGCUUGAGAAAGGCUGCACUGAUUCUGUAGACUAGCUUUUAAAAAGAACAUACUCAAGAGACAGGCAAGGUAGGAGCAAUGGUUGCUGCUCUGAACUAAUUACUUCUGCCUGAGUGUGCAGAGAGAUCUUGUCUAGUAGGUAAAUGCUUCUUACCAUCUAUGUCAUUCACUCACGGUUGGUAGGGUAGUUCAUUUAAGAACAGCUGCUUUUAGCUUAUUCAGUGUGCUCUGCUUGCUAGCAAAGAGACCUCAUUCCUGCAAGAGGUUCUUGGCUUGAUUAGAAAUUGUCUGGCAGUGUGCAGUGUUGGUAUGCCCUGUAACUGAAUCUGCCUGGAGGUAUCUAAUUAUUAACUGACUUCAGUACCACAUCAACCUCGAGUAAAUGUAUCCUCUGUACAGGACUUUAGCUCUGUUCCCUCUGCAUAGUGAAUAUCUAGAGAAAUGAAAUGGUGUCAUCAAGGACUUUUUUUUUUUUAAAUUUUUUUUUUCUGUGAGAGUGUGUGUGUGGCUUUGGCUUUUUCCAACUGUGAAAGUGUGGGCUGGAUACACUUGGUGCAUGGCUUAGAAACAUGGGACUGGAAAGAACUUCCUGGGUCAUCAGAUCCAGUCCCCUGCUAUUGCAGGCAACCGUGUCAUAUAAUCCUUUUAAUAAACUGAUCAAGCUUAACCACCUGCUUGUAAGUGGCUUGUUUUCAUGGAAGUUCUGUAACUCAUGUUGCUUUCAACUGAUGCAAGUAAUACAUGAAAUAUGAAGUUAAUCAAAAGGUCCUCCAGCUUAACUUUAGGUUUAUCAUUACACUUACUUAACUGACUUUCUCAAACCUGUUAUUCUUUGCACAACACUCAGGAAAGUGUUGAAUCUUUACACCCCCUUGCUAUGAAUAAGAGCUGGUGUGCUUGCUUAUUUUUUUUAAUGGAAAAGAUGGAUGUCUGGCUUGUUGAAAUUUGUUAGAUAUGUUAAUUGUCAAGGCAAGAAGCAAUUGAGUUACUUGUAUUUGAUACAUAAAUUUAAGGCUAAAGUAUACAUAACCAUUUUUAAAAUACAUCAACUUGCAGUGUAGUUUUAUAUUUAAUACUGAAAUUGUACUGCUAAAGUUUAAACUGCUGUUAAUCAUAUUCCUCUUCUGAUCAUAAUGAAAAAAUAAAGGGUAAGAAAAUGCUUAA